CUUUAAGGCCAGACAGAAUCUUGGGAAGGUUGCUGGUUGGAAUUCUGGGUUGCCUGAGUCAGUUGGUUUUCUAACUGCCAAGGAGUCCUGGACGUUUUUUUUCCUAGGUGGAGGUUGGCAUUUUGUUCCUUGGAACACUGAAAAAUCCCAGUGGUAGAUGAAGGAGAAGAACAGAUUGAAAAAAACACAGAAAACAAAAUUACCUUCUGAAGAUCAGAAGUGGAGACCAGGAGAAGCUAGUUAAUGGGAGAAGGAAGCUGGAGAUUUGAGAGGAUGCUCUAGGUUGGAGGUUCCAGACACAAUUUAAAGAUUCAGGGUGAAAUCACAAUGUAGAUAGUUAGCAGAAUUCAGAAAGCCAAAAAUCUAUUAAACUUUGAUAGUUCAAAU
rnacentral:lncRNA from 1 species